GUGGGGAAUUUUGGACAAUGGGCGCAAGCCUGAUCCAGCAAUGCCGCGUGCAGGAAGAAGGCCUUCGGGUUGUAAACUGCUUUUGUACGGAACGAAACGGUCCGGGUUAAUACCCUGGGCUAAUGACGGUACCGUAAGAAUAAGCACCGGCUAACUACGUGCCAGCAGCCGCGGUAAUACGUAGGGUGCAAGCGUUAAUCGGAAUUACUGGGCGUAAAGCGUGCGCAGGCGGUUUUGUAAGACAGGCGUGAAAUCCCCGGGCUCAGCCUGGGAAUUGCGGUUGUGACUGCAAGGCUGGAGUGCGGCAGAGGGGGAUGGAAUUCCGCGUGUAGCAGUGAAAUGCGUAGAUAUGCGGAGGAACACCGAUGGCGAAGGCAAUCCCCUGGGCCUGCACUGACGCUCAUGCACGAAAGCGUGGGGAGCAAACAGGAUUAGAUACCCGUGUAGUCC
rnacentral:rRNA from 1 species